GACGUAGGGCGCGAGCGUUGUCCGGAUUUAUUGGGCGUAAAGAGCUCGUAGGCGGCUUGUUGCGUCGGCUGUGAAAACCCGCGGCUUAACCGCGGGCCUGCAGCCGAUACGGGCAGGCUAGAGUUCGGUAGGGGAGACUGGAAUUCCCGGUGUAGUGGUGAAAUGCGUAGAUAUCGGGAGGAACACCAGUGGCGAAGGCGACUACCUGGCCUGUUCUUGACGCUGAGGCGCGAAAGCUAGGGGAGCAAACGGGG
rnacentral:rRNA from 1 species